rnacentral:rRNA from 1 species
AUUGAACGCUGGCGGCAUGCUUUACACAUGCAAGUCGAACGGCAGCGCGGGGCAACCUGGCGGCGAGUGGCGAACGGGUGAGUAAUAUAUCGGAACGUACCCAAGAGUGGGGGAUAACGUAGCGAAAGUUACGCUAAUACCGCAUACGAUCUAUGGAUGAAAGCAGGGGACCGCAAGGCCUUGUGCGUCCUGGGACGCGGCCGAUAUCUGAUUUAGCGUAGUUGGGAGGUAAGGACUCACCAAGGCGACGAUCAGUAGCUGGUCUGAGAGGACGACCAGCCACACUGGGACUGAGACACGGCCCA